rnacentral:lncRNA from 1 species
UUUUAAUCUAAUUUCAGGAAUUAAUGAAGCAUUGGGUUUGAAUCCAGAAUUGGGCUUGGGCUUGAAUCCAGAAUUGAGCUUGGACUUGAAGAGGGCAGACUAUUUUAUUCUACAAAAUUAGAUCUUAUCUUAUCUUUAUCUUAUCUAGAUAUUAUUUAGAUUUGAUCUCAUCUAGAUAUUAUUUAAUCUAGAUCUUAUCUUAUCUAGAUUUGAAUUUCUCAUCUAGAUAUUAUUUAAUCUAGAUCUUAUCUUAUCUUAUCUAGAUUUGAAUUUAAUUU